UUUAUUUUUUUAACAGUGGAUGCUAUGGUAUAUUAAAAAGUCGUGCAAACGAAAAUUUAAAUAAAUUUAUAUUUAUUUAAAAAAACUUUAUGGAAACACUUAUUUUAAAAAAGUAAUGAAAUUAAAUUAUUUUAGUACAUGAAUAUAAUAACAAUAAUUUUUGAAUUAUUUGAAAACUAAAAAGGAUUAAAGAUCCGUAAAAUAAUUUUUAUUUUAAGUAACAUGUUGUGAAUUUAAAGAUUCUCCUUUUAUUAAUUUUAGUAUAACCAAUAGUGAAAAAGUAUUGACAAAGAAAGUAGCUUUAUUUAAUAAAGCAUUUUGAAACUGUUUUAUAAUGAUAAUAAAAUUUUUUUUAUUCACUUUUUGUAUAACGGUCUAGCAAGUUAUAGACUUUAGUAAAUGUGUACAAAAUUGUUUUUUUGCUAUUUAAUUUUAUUAAUUACUAAAGUAUAUAAACCCGAAACAAAAUGAUCUACACUAAGUCAAUAAUAAGUAUGAACCGGUGUUUGUUGCAAAAAGCUCGGAUGAACUUUGUGUAGCCGCGAUACAUGAAUCGCAUUUUGUAAUAGCUGGUUUUUCACGAAAUUUUAUUUUAGUAUAAUUAUUUUAAUUAAAAUUGACUGUUAUUUGUUUUUUGGUUUUAUCUUAAAAACUAACUAAAUAAUGUUAAUUUAUAUUUAAGGCAGACUAUUUGUGGUUAAGCACUCUAGUCUAGAGAAUAACAAUUCUUAUUGUUGGUUAAGAAUUUUAUUAAAAAUUUAAUAUAUUUUUUCAAAAGUGGGCUUAAUUGCAGCUAUCUAUUGUUAAGUGCGUAAUAGCUUAAUUUCCUUUUUAUAUUAAAUUUUAUCAUGUAAAAUGUAAUGAUUCGAAACCGCAAAUAAUGUUUAUUAUGGUAGUGAAAUAUUUUUAUAAAAACUUAUUAAAAAUUUUAAAUAGAGUUAAGGCUAGUAUGAGUAUUGAAUAUUUUUAAAAAUCUUAAAAAUUUAUGGUAUUUUGAAAUAAUCGGUUUCUAAAAAUUAAAUUAAAAUUUAAUUUGAAUGAUUGUUAGUUUUUUAUUAUAAAAAACUAAACAGGAAAACUUUUAACCGUACUAAAUCUGACACAAGUAAAUUUAAAAAGAUGUGGGAUAAUUACAAUUAAGGAACUCGGCAAAUUAUAUUUACUAUUGUAAAUAAAAGAACAACUGUUUAGCAAAAACACAGGUCUUAGCAAAAAUGAAAAUUAUUGUAUUAAGAUUGCGCACUGCUCAAUGUUUUUCGAUUUUCUUAUUUAAAUUGAUUGUUUGAAUAAAAAAAUUAAAAUAAAUAGCAGCCUUAACUAUAAGGGUUCUAAGGUAGCAUAAUCAUUUGUCAUUUAAUUGGUGACUGGUAUGAAUGUGUUAAUGAUUCUUUAACUGUCUUGAUUGUAAAUCCAAAGAAAUUAUAUUUUUGGUGAAAGUACCAAAGUAUAUUUUAUCAAAGACGAGAAGACCCUGUGUCUCUUUAGUUUUAAUUUUAUUUGUAUUAUUUUUUAUUAUCUUAUUCAUUUUUAUGUUUAUAAUCAAAUUUAAUACUAAAACUUUUUGUUUACAUAUUGAAUUUAAAACUUUAGCUGGGACGGCUUUCUUUUUUUAAAUAACAAAGAAAUUCAAAGUAAAAUGAAAAUAAUUACUUAUUAAACAUAACUAAUUUUUAUUUUAUUUACAAAAUGAAAAAUAUUAUUUUGUAGUAUUUGCUUGAAUUAGUGAACCAAAUAAUUUAUGAGAAAAAAUAUUUGAGUAUUAGAGUAAGACACACCAGGGAUAACAGCCUAAUCUUGUUUUUAAGUUCAUAUUUAUAACAAGGUUUAGGACCUCGAUGUUGGCUCAGGGCAUUCCUAACGUUGAAGUUGAUGUUAAGGGUACAGCUGUUCGCUGUGUAACGCCCUACGUGAGUUGAGUUCAGAUCAUCGUAAGAUAGGUCAGUUUCUAUCUUGAUAAAA
rnacentral:rRNA from 1 species